CCUUCCGCGGCCACUGUACCACACAAUUCCUAAACUAAACUUGUCCUCUCUCUUCAGUUGCCGCGGAAGUUUGAGGGGACAAUGUCUCCACAGUUGUUCGAUGUCCCCAUCAUCUCCCCAUCUUAUACGUAUAAACCCGUCCUUCCCCCCAUCCUACAAUGUUACUGUCCCCAUGCACACCUUCCGCGGCCACUGUCUCUCUUAUCAUCCAAGCAGCGGAGACAAAGUGAGCCCACGACUGAGCGAACAUUGCCUGUUGUUGUUAAUUCAAUAAAGUCGCUCCACAUUUCCCAUUUUCUCCGAGAUAAUGAACUUACCCGACUAAUUGCUGCCAAGCGGGGAGGCAUUACGUAAAUAUAUACAUUAACACAGAGUCCCCUUAUUAUUAGCGGGGAAGAAGAAUGACGGUUCGUGGACAAAGAAAUUAUUACUUCCAAAGAUAUCAUUAUUGCGCAGUAACAACAAAACCAAAGGAAAUCCAACAGGUAGAAAAGAGAGAAAGAGAAAGUCGAGAAAGUGCGAACCACUUUCUCUUAAAGAGCAGAAAAGAAAGCAGCAAAGACAAUCCAAUCCCUUCUCGUUACGGGGAAAGUGCUUUGCUUUACUUUACUUUAAAAAUUAACGGAGGGUUCAAAAAUCCUGGUUUGAAAGGGUUCACGGACUUAUCUUCUUUUUCUGCUUAGCUUUCCUAUCUUUCUUUCUCCCUUCAACCAUAAACCAAACCAAAUACAACAGUGGCCGCGGAGGAAGCUGUGGGGACAUGUGGGGACGUUAACAUUAUAUGAUAAGAUGGACAGAUGAUGAGAACAUCAUGUGGGGACAUUAACCCUCUGCCCCUCCCCCCGCUUCCGUGGCCACUGUCGCACCAAGCCAAACCAAGCAAACGAUGGGAUCAUUACGGAAACCACAACAGAACGAUAUGUGCUGUGCGGGCGUGCCCACGUACGAGAUAAAAGUAGUCGCGGACUAUUUAUUUAUACGGGAACUGGCACCCCUCGCAUUGGCAUCGAAUCCGAUGAAAUCCAAUCCAUUUCAGGAAACUUUCCCCGAAAAAAAGAGGCGUGAUUCAUUAAAAUUCUGAACGAGUCAGGGGCUGCUAUUUUCUCCUCUGAGAUGGACUGACGCUGGAUGGACGUUCAGAUAAAUUACUUGCUUUGAGUCGCUGACUUUUACAGUGAAAUAAGAAGAAAUGAGCGGAGAGAAAGAGGAGGAAAUGCGAGUGCUUGUCGUAUUUUCGUAAAGAGUGGAGAGAGAGAGAGGGAGAGACGUAUGUAGGUAUUUCACUCCUGGAGGAAGAGAUCAGUGGUGGAGAUGAAGAGAACGAAAGGAGACUUUUCACUUUCACUUUCACCAAGGUUUUACUUUAAAUUUUAAGGUAUGCAAGUCAGUCAAGUCAAGAAUUGUAAGGAAUUUGGAGCUCGAAAAUGAACUAAUUGUCAAGUUUGAUUAGUAUAUGUGGA